rnacentral:rRNA from 1 species
AUGACGGUCAAUAAGGCACAGGGGCAGACUAUCCCGAAUGCGGGUACAUACUUGCCCGAGCUAGUGUUCUCUCAUGGGCAGUUGUAUGUCGCCCUAUCUAGAUCCACUGUUAGAAAGAACAUCAAGAUCCUUACCUCCCCGGCUACAGGCGGAAGGAAUAGCUCAAAUUACAGGAAAAACAAGAGCUCCAACUGUCCUGUCGGUAAUUACACGAGGAACAUCGUCUAUAGGGAGGUACUUACAUCAUAG